UACGGAGGGAGCUAGCGUUGUUCGGAAUUACUGGGCGUAAAGCGCGCGUAGGCGGCUUUGUAAGUUAGAGGUGAAAGCCCGGGGCUCAACCCCGGAACUGCCUUUAAGACUGCAUCGCUUGAAUCCGGGAGAGGUGAGUGGAAUUCCGAGUGUAGAGGUGAAAAUUCGUAGAUAUUCGGAAGAACACCAGUGGCGAAGGCGGCUCACUGGACCGGCAUUGACGCUGAUGUGCGAAAGCGUGGGGGAGCAAACAGG
rnacentral:rRNA from 1 species